AAGGAUCUAAAGUAAAGUCUGGAGCUACUUGUAUACUGACAUUGAAAACAGCGCAAAGGAUGACAGAUGAGCCAUGGGGACAACCCAAGUGCCCAUCAGCAGGUGAACGGGAUGUGUACAUAUGUGACUGCUCACAGAGACCAGAAGAGAGUGUCCCAUCCCUUAGAGAGGGAGUUAUGGGUGAUUGUGAAUCACCUGCUGUGGGUGCUGGAAACCCAACUCAGAUAUUCUCCAACAACAGCACUGUUGAGCCAUUUCUCCAGAACAGAAUUUCGUUUUCUCAAGUUAAAAAGAGUUCUCAAGGCAGAUCUCUCAGUUAGAGACCAGCCUGGUCUACAAGAGCC